rfam:Mesocricetus auratus contig151667, whole genome shotgun sequence.
CCAGCGGAUGUUUUCACAUCCACUAAUUCAGGUAAUAAUUAAAAG